UCUGCAACUCACAAAGUGUCA
ensembl:piRNA 21ur-2601 ncRNA